rnacentral:ncRNA from 1 species
UGCAAAGAAGGUGAUGGGGUACCACCUGGAACCGCCUGCCCGGGCAGCGCUGAUGACUCCUGGUGCAGG